rnacentral:rRNA from 1 species
GGCUCGGACAGGCGGUCCGCCUCACGGUGUGUACUGUCGGUUCGGGCCUUACUUCUUGGUGAGCUCGCAUGGCCUUUACUGGUCGUGCGAGGGAACCAGGACUGUUACCUUGAGAAAAUUAGAGUGUUCAAAGCAGGCCUACGCCUGAAUACGUUAGCAUGGAAUAAUAAAACAGGACUUUGGUCGUGUUUUGUUGGUUUUAAGGACCGAAGUA